GACGAACGCUGGCGGCGUGCUUAACACAUGCAAGUCGAGCGGUAAGGCCCUUUCGGGGGUACACGAGCGGCGAACGGGUGAGUAACACGUGGGUGACCUGCCUCUAGCUCUGGGAUAAGCCUGGGAAACUAGGGUCUAAUACCGGAUAUGACUCCACGGCGCAUGUUGUGGGGUGGAAAGCCUUGUGUGGCUAGAGAUGGGCCCGCGGCCUAUCAGCUUGUUGGUGGGGUGAUGGCCUACCAAGGCGACGACGGGUAGCCGGCCUGAGAGGGCGACCGGCCACACUGGGACUGAGACACGGCCCAGACUCCUACGGGAGGCAGCAGUGGGGAAUCUUGCGCAAUGGGCGAAAGCCUGACGCAGCGACGCCGCGUGAGGGAUGACGGCCUCGGUGUAAC
rnacentral:rRNA from 1 species